rnacentral:rRNA from 1 species
AACGAACGCUGGCGGCAGGCCUAACACAUGCAAGUCGAACGCCCUAGCAAUAGGGAGUGGCAGACGGGUGAGUAACACGUGGGAACCUUCCCUAUAGUACGGACAAGCCCAGGGAAACUUGGAGUAAUACCGUAUACGCCCGAGAGGGGAAAGAUUUAUCGCUUUAGGAAGGGGCCGUGUAGGAUUAGCUAAUAGGUGAGGUAAUGGUUCACCAAGGAGACGAUACUGAGCAGAUCUGAGAGGACGACCAGCCACACUGGGACUGAGAGGCGGCCCAGACGACUACGGGAGGCAGCAGUGGGGAAUAUUGGACAAUGAGCGCAAGCCUGAUCCAGCCAUGCCGCGUGAGUGAUGAAGGCCUUAGGGUUGUAAAGCUCUUUUGUCGGAGACGAUAAUGACGGUACCCGAAGAAUAAGUCCCGGCUAACUUCGUGCCAGCAGCCGCCGCAG